CAAGAAAAUAAUCACUUUGCGACACUUCACUUGCGACAGUUCGGCCACAACCGUUGCAAUGUGUAUUUUUUCCAGAUUUUGCAACGGUUGAUGCGACAGUUUAGGGAACCGUCGCAGCUUUUACAUCUAAAAUUGGGAACUAGCUUACUCAUCGCCACCCACUCUUACUCUUUGUCAUGAAAAAAAAAAUUCCUCUAAACCCUAAUCGCUCCAAUCACUCUCUAGAUUCAAAUCAACGAACCUUGUUCCCCAAAUUUCUCAAACGAGGAAGCUUCCUCUCCACUGUUCCAAAUCCCUAAAUCUCCAUCGUUCUUUCUCCUGCGAGAUUCAUUGUUCCCUUGUUCGUUCUCUCGUUCUGUCUCCAAUGAUGAAGCUUCUCUUUCACUACUCAGAUGUGGCGUCCCUGUAAGUGCCACACCACCACCGCCAGAACUUUCCCUCCCUGCCACUCGCUCCUCGCCUCACGCAGUCGACUACCAUCACUGAGUUCUGUUUUUGAAGUCUGAACACAAAUUGGGGAAGAGAUUCCACUUCGGGAACCCUAAGACAAAGCUAUUCAUGAAUCCCUUUACCCAGCAAGAUAGAUACUAACUAGGUGUUGAUUAUGCUGGGAAAAUGAAUCAUGUUGGCUUUGGCUUGUACAAUCAAGAUUAGUAUUAUCCAUAUCUUCCAUUUGUGCUGAUGCUGCAAAGUUAUGCAUAUGGAUUUAGUUGAGCUUCAGUCACUUAUUUUGGUAAUGCGCAAUUGGUAUGACAUUGCUACGUAUCUUAAAAGUAUUUUGGUAAUGCGCAAUUGAGUUCUCAGAACAUCAUUUUCCUAUGGCUUUCCAAAUCAACCCAAAAUCUUCUGUGAUAUUGUCAUAUCUUAGAACUGCUUUGCAUUUUCUGAAGGCAACAAACAUAGAAUCCCCAAGAGAUGUUAGACAUUCCUUCUUAAGUGAGUCUAGCUAGCACUAAUUAAGGAUCAUGAAGCAACAUCAAAUACUUCGGAAUAUUUAGAUAUUUCAUGAACCUAUUAUUUUGACAUAAUGUUUUGUAUGUUUAGCCACUCUACUAAUAUUUAUGUUUUAGUUUUUGAAUGUUUGAACUACAUUAGUUUUUUCUUUGGAGUUUGAAGUACAUAGAUUAAAUUUUUGAUGUAUGGAUGUUGUCACUAUUGAAUGAAUUAUAUGAAUGAGAUUAAGUUAUUUAUAUA